AUUAACUCUUAGAAUAUGCUACCUGCUUGAAAAAGAAAAAUUUCCCAAAAGCCCAACACACACAUUUCAGCUGUCUACAAUUUUCCAAUUAGUAUUAACUCAUUAAUUAGUAAAGCAUGAGUGAGUUUGGAAUUUUCAGCCCAACAACUGUGCAGAUCUUUAUAAAUGUCCUGUAAUCUCAUCAGAAGGUCCCAGAUUACCCUCUCUUUUGCUUUAAUUAGAAAACAGGCAAAUCAGGACAAGGAUAUAAAAUUGACUUUGUCUCUCUUACUAAUUCUGUCACCUGGAACAAUUCACUUAGUCUAUUUGGACCUCAGUUUCAGUAACUCCACUGUUACAAAUUUACAUUAGGGGACUUCCCCAGUGGUCAGGUGGUUAAGAAUCUACCUCCCAAUGCAGGGUAUGUGGUGAAUUGUAAGCUAUUGACUUGUAACCAGUUCCCUGGUUAGGAACCUAAGAUUCCGCAUUCCGUGGGGCAACCAAGCCAGUGCGCCUCAACUAGAGGAACACAUGCAUGUAAUGAAGAAUGAAGAUUCGGCACUGCCAAAAAAAGAAAAAAAGUUUUAUCUGUAAAAAUGUCCAAAAGCAGAUAGUAUAUGAUUUAUUUAUGUAUUUGCUUUGCCACAGAAACAAUGACCCCCCCCAAAUCGCAGCGGUUCAUAAUACUAACUCAUUCCUCUUUCAUGUUGUUAGUGGCUACAGUCAGCUGCUUUUCAGCUCCUUGGUCUUACACUGGGACCUAAACUGAAGAAGCAGUCUUCUAUCCAGAACAGAGGGAAAGAGUAGGAGAGCUCACAGAAACAUACAGCGGCUCUAAAACUUCUGCUCAGUCGUGGAGUGUAAGAAAGCAACAUGUUGGGGAUGAUGAUGGGGCUCUGAUAACCACCUGUUGGGAUGCCUUCUGCAAGCAUUGUAGUUGCCAGCCUCGACUCUGAGUCCAGUGACGGCAACCGAGACUUCAGUGAGUUAUUGAACAGGGGCUCUCAUGAGUCCAAAACAAAGGGUCCUGGAGCAACACCUCAAAAUGUAUGGCAGACGACAGAAUGGCUGAUAGACUAAAACUCAAAGAGGAAAGGAAGGAUGUAUCUUAAUGGAAAUUGAUGAUUUAAACUAAAAGAAAGAAGACUAGCAGAGACUUUAAAAUAUUGAAAACUCUCUUAUCACAACGGAAGCUAAAGACUCUGAUGGCCAAAAUCAAAAAGAUAGGAAACGACCACAACAGCAAAGAAAACAUAGACAAAGCAGUAACAAAAAUGAGAGGAAAUUUAUGUGAUUUGGGACACUCCAGGACAAAGAACAGAAGGAGGAUAAAAGUAAUGGUCUGCAUGAGGACAUGGACUACAGAAAAGUUAAUGAGUGUCAUUGGUAUUUAAAAUUAGCCACUGCAAAAGAAGCCUGAAAUGUCAUGACUCUUUUGGCUCAUAGAUGAAGGAAACUGGUUAGAGCUUAGCCCAAAUUUGACAAAACUCUAAAAAUGUUACAUGACACUGUAAUGAAUUAGAAGUUGGAAAAAAAACUUUUCUAAAUUAUCAAUAAUGAAUAAAUAAAUUUCUAGUAGACUGAAUUAUCCUCAUUUCCUUAUAGAAAAAUUAUAUUAAAAAUUAUAUAAAGAGAUGACUAACAAUUUGGAAAAAAAUUGUGCUUGUACUUCAGGCAGCUCAUCAGGAAAUAUGGUUUGUCAUUCUGCCGC